rnacentral:lncRNA from 1 species
GUCUAAAUAGUGUCAAAUAUUUUAUACAAGCUCUCCUCAAUAUUUCAAGACAUACAAUAAUUAUCCCCGUAUAUUUUUCAUUUUGUUAGUUCUUUUUUCUCUCGUUCUUUUAAUCUUUUCCCCAUUCCAUUAUGUUUUCAUAUCCAGACCUCUCCCGAGAAGCCCCACCUAAUUCCUUCUUCGGAUCCCUCAAUUUCCACUCUUCACUAUUUUCUCCAAUCCAGAUUCAAAAAAAUAAUUUUUCCCGGCUGUAAUGGCACCUUGUUUCUAAACAACUUAUUAACUAAAAUUUACUGCAGUAACUAAAUUAAUUUUCAACACAUCUAAUUACUCAUUUUAACGGGUGCGGGGUUGAUCAAGUUGGAGGAAAAAACAAUUGAAGAAUUUGCUCACUGGAUCUGAUCAAACUUUCUCAUUGUUUCUGAGCGGAACCAAUCAUGAAUUCCUUUUCUUUCGGCAUGCGUCUUAGGUUAGUAACCCAACCCCAAUUAAAACUCAUGUUUCUUGUGCUUGUUAUUGGAUCAAAUUUGCAAAAUAUUAUCUGGGUCAUUGAUUUUUUUUUGCUGAAAUUUUCUGAUUUUCAGUCUGAAGUUUUAGAUACGAGCUCCUCUCGAUUUGGAUUCAUUAUAUAUAAUUCACUCAAAAUAAUUUUCGUUUUUCAAAUCAUUUUCGUUUGCGGUAUUUCAAAUUUUCAAAUCGAGCUUUGAAGCUUUAGUGGUUGAUCAAUCAUAGAAAGAAGGAAGUAAAAGAAGAAAGAAGAAGGUAGAAGAAGCCAUUAAUGGCUGAAUCCCAGAAGGAAGAAGAACAAGCAGUAUGAUGAAUGGCC